CCUACGGGUGGCAGCAGUGAGGAAUAUUGGUCAAUGGACGGAAGUCUGAACCAGCCAUGCCGCGUGCAGGAUGACGGCUCUAUGAGUUGUAAACUGCUUUUGUACGAGAAUAAUAGUUCUUACGUGUAGGGAGUUGAAUGUAUCUUACGAAUAAGCAUCGGCUAACUCCGUGCCAGCAGCCGCGGUAAUACGGAGUAUUCGAGCGUUAUCCGGCUUUAUUGGGUUUAAAGGGUGCGUAGGCUGUUGGAUAAGUUAGAGGUCAAAUGUCAGGGCUUAACCCCGUGCCUGCCUCUGAUACUGUUCGACUAGAGAGCGGAUGAAGCAGGCGGAAUGAGUAGUGUAGCGGUGAAAUGCUUAGAUAUAACUCAGAACACCGAUUGCGAAGGCAGCUUGUUAAUCCGCAUCUGACGCUGAUGCACGAAAGCGUGGGUAGCGAACAGGAUUAGAUACCCGGGUAGUC
rnacentral:rRNA from 1 species